UGGGACUUUGAGAAUUUUGAAGAGAAAGCUAUUCGUUAUUCAUCUUUAUAUCUCUAGUGACAAUCUUAUGCCUGGAGCAUAUUUGAUGCUCAACAAAUUUUUACUGGAAAAAGUGGUAGAAUAUUUUUUACAAAGUUGGAGGCAAUUUUUUUCCAGUUCACUAUACAGUGCAGUAUGAUAGAAAUGUCAGGCUUAGGGAACGAAGGAAAAGUAUGAAACAACUUUGGUAGUG
rnacentral:lncRNA from 1 species